AUUGGCUGGCAUACUGGUACACACAGCAUUCAGUUUGCUUUUGCUCAGAGGCUGGUAUGAGGGCAGGUGCAUGUCUGAGAGGAAGAGAUUACCUUUCUCCCAAGGCCAGGAAGAGCCGGUUUAAAAACAGGACAGAAUGGGACAAGACGGGACAGGACAGAGGAGUAAAACAAGUCUGUACAAACAGGACAAAACCAGACUGAGGAGGACAAACUGCGAUCUUUGAUUGGCUGAAAGAUCGCAGUAUUGCUGUUUUCAUCAAUUUGUCAAAACAGUAUGAAAUGACAGAAGGGAUAAGAAUAAACUAAUAGCAGUAUUCAUUUAGCUGCCAGUCUAAUACAAAGAACCAAAAUGAAUCUAUAUUCACACAGCAAUGGUCUGUGCACUUCAAGCCAAUAUAGCGAAUGAUGAACGGCUGUUUGUGUUUGGUCUUUGUCACUUUAAUAUGACAGGGCAAAUCUCCCCGCUGCCAACUCCAGCUCUGAUGCAACAGUGCUCAUCCUAAUGCUAGCAGCACGCAGGGCACAAGACACAGCACCCCCUCCAAACAGACGCACAGUGUGUGUGUGAGUCUGUGCAAGGGUGUGUGAAAAUGAUUGGAAAGACUUUAAAAAGUCAGCUGUCCACAAGCUUGAACUUUACCCAGCCAGCGAAAUGCAGACCAUGUGUCAUGGGAAAAACAAAUGACAACAGAGUCGACCUCUCCACGACAUUAAUAUGGCAAAGAGCAACGCUUAUAUAGAGACAUGCGUGCGAAAAAAAUUGGUACACACAAAGUGUUAAAUGUGGAAAACCAAAAUUACCCGGAGUCAAAAGCAGUGACAAAUUCGGGCUUACCCCAAAAACGUCAAUCUCGCCGUCCUUGAAUCGAUUGUGGCUCCUAAGCUCUGAGAGAGAGAGAAAAAAAAAAAAAAACAGAGAGAGAGAGAGAUUUGAAAUCGAGAGCUUUGUGGUCCUUUAUCCACGUGCUGCAGACUCAGUGACUCCCUGGCUUUCUGGCGCAGAGCUGCUUUACUACAUGAAAACUCUUACACACUUUUUCCCCCCUCUCGUUCUCCCUAUGAUCUCCCCACCCUUUUCCAAUAGAUUGUACUUUCUCACUUGCUGCAUUUGUACCCCAGACAUCAUGUGAAAAGUGGAGUAAAACAGUGCUUUUGUGGUGUGUGAAUUACCUAGGGCCUAGGCAGGCACAGUAGUGCUUAUGGCCACAACUCAAUUACAGCAAUGUGAAUCAGGUGGCGGCCUAGAAAUCCCCUCAGCCUGAUGCACAAAUAGGGACACAGAGGCGCCUUCAUUGCCAAGACAGAGACAAAUCUGAAGUGGCGUGUCAUCUUUUCAUAGUAGAGCAGCUUAGCCGAUGCUGUGCAGAUGAAUGGCUGCUACAGACAACGAUCUAAUGACUCUGGUUUUCAGCAAGUGUAUGAAUGCUUCCAUUUUGUUUAUGCAAACUGCUCAAAUAUUAC
ensembl:lncRNA